AUUGAACGCUGGCGGCACGCUUAACACAUGCAAGUCGAGCGGUAACAUGGGUAGUAGCAAUACUAUCUGAUGACGAGCGGCGGACGGGUGAGUAACACGUAGGAACUUGCCCAGUAGAGGGGGACAACCAAGGGAAACUUUGGCUAAUACCGCAUAUACUCGAGAGAGGAAAGCUGCCGCAAGGUGGCGCUACUGGAGAGGCCUGCGUCCGAUUAGCUAGUUGGUGAGGUAAUAGCUUACCAAGGCGAGGAUCGGUAACUGGUCUGAGAGGACGACCAGUCACACUGGGACUGAGACACGGCCCAGACUCCUACGGGAGGCAGCAGUGGGGUAUCUUGGACAAUGGGGGCAACCCUGAUCCAGCGAUGCCGCGUGAGUGAAGAAGGCCUUCGGGUCGUAAAGCUCUUUAGGCUGGGAAGAAGGUUAGUAGUUUAAGAGAUAACUAGCUUGACUGUACCAGCAGAAUAAGCACCGGCAAACUCUGUGCCAGCCGCCGCGGUAA
rnacentral:rRNA from 1 species